rnacentral:SRP_RNA from 11 species
GGCAACCCAGCACGGCACGACGCGCCCCGGGGGAGGGCGCCGGAGACGGCGCUGGUCGUC